GCACUCAUGGCGGAAUUGGCAGACGCGCAGGACUUAGAAUCCUGUGGGCAACCGUGCAGGUUCAAGUCCUGUUGAGUGCACCA
rnacentral:tRNA from 1 species